UGAGCACACGGUGAUGGAGUUCCACCGAUUGAACCGCCUUAGUGCUGAUGACUCCUACCCCAGA
rnacentral:ncRNA from 1 species